UACGUAGGUGACCAGCGUUGUCCGGAUUUACUGGGCGUAAAGAGCGCGCAGGCGGUCGUUCAAGUCGAGUGUGAAAGCCCCCGGCUCAACUGGGGAGGGUCAUUCGAUACUGAUCGACUUGAAGCCAGGAGAGGGAAGCGGAAUUCCCGGUGUAGUGGUGAAAUGCGUAGAUAUCGGGAGGAACACCAGUGGCGAAGGCGGCUUCCUGGCCUGUUCUUGACGCUGAGGCGCGAAAGCUAGGGGAGCAAACGGG
rnacentral:rRNA from 1 species